AGUGGCGAACGGGUGAGUAACACGUGAGUAACCUGCCCUUGACUCUGGGAUAACUCCGGGAAACCGGGGCUAAUACCGGAUACGAGACGCGAUCGCAUGGUCGGCGUCUGGAAAGUUUUUCGGUCAAGGAUGGACUCGCGGCCUAUCAGCUAGUUGGUGAGGUAACGGCUCACCAAGGCGUCGACGGGUAGCCGGCCUGAGAGGGCGACCGGCCACACUGGGACUGAGACACGGCCCAGACUCCUACGGGAGGCAGCAGUGGGGAAUAUUGCACAAUGGGCGAAAGCCUGAUGCAGCGACGCCGCGUGAGGGAUGAAGGCCUUCGGGUUGUAAACCUCUUUCAGUAGGGAAGAAGCGAAAGUGACGGUACCUGCAGAAGAAGCGCCGGCUAACUACGUGCCAGCAGCCGCGGUAAUACGUAGGGCGCAAGCGUUGUCCGGAAUUAUUGGGCGUAAAGAGCUCGUAGGCGGUUUGUCGCGUCUGGUGUGAAAACUCAAGGCUCAACCUUGAGCUUGCAUCGGGUACGGGCAGACUAGAGUGUGGUAGGGGUGACUGGAAUUCCUGGUGUAGCGGUGGAAUGCGCAGAUAUCAGGAGGAACACCGAUGGCGAAGGCAGGUCACUGGGCCACUACUGACGCUGAGGAGCGAAAGCAUGGGGAGCGAACAGGAUUAGAUACCCUGGUAGUCCAUGCCGUAAACGUUGGGCACUAGGUGUGGGGCUCAUUCCACGAGUUCCGCGCCGCAGCUAACGCAUUAAGUGCCCCGCCUGGGGAGUACGGCCGCAAGGCUAAAACUCAAAGGAAUUGACGGGGGCCCGCACAAGCGGCGGAGCAUGCGGAUUAAUUCGAUGCAACGCGAAGAACCUUACCAAGGCUUGACAUACACCGGAAUCGGCCAGAGAUGGUCGCGUCUUCGGACUGGUGUACAGGUGGUGCAUGGUUGUCGUCAGCUCGUGUCGUGAGAUGUUGGGUUAAGUCCCGCAACGAGCGCAACCCUCGUCCUAUGUUGCCAGCACGUCAU
rnacentral:rRNA from 1 species